GUAGGUGGCAAGCGUUGUCCGGAAUUAUUGGGCGUAAAGCGCGCGCAGGGCGGUCCUUUAAGUCUGAUGUGAAAGCCCACGGCUCAACCGUGGAGGGUCAUUGGAAACUGGGGGACUUGAGUACAGAAGAGGAAAGCGGAAUUCCAAGUGUAGCGGUGAAAUGCGUAGAGAUUUGGAGGAACACCAGUGGCGAAGGCGGCUUUCUGGUCUGUAACUGACGCUGAGGCGCGAAAGCGUGGGGAGCAAACAGGAUUAGAUACCCUGGUAGUCCACGCCGUAAACGAUGAGUGCUAAGUGUUGGGGGGUUUCCGCCCCUUAGUGCUGCAGCUAACGCAUUAAGCACUCCGCCUGGGGAGUACGGCCGCAAAGGCUG
rnacentral:rRNA from 1 species